GGAAUGGUGAAAAGUACCCCGGGAGGGGAGUGAAAUAGUGCCUGAAACCAAGCGCUUUUAAGCCGUCAGAGCCGGUCGGCCCUUUUUUUGGGGUUGUGGUGAUGGCGUGCCUAUUGAAAAAUGAGCCUGCGAGUUAGUGAUGCGUGGCGAGGUUAACCCUUUGUGGGGUAGUCGUAGCGAAAGCGAGUCUUAAUUGGGCGCCCAGUCGCGUGUUCUAGACCCGAAGCGGGGUGAUCUACCCAUGGCCAGGUUGAAGCGAUUGUAAAAGGUCGUGGAGGACCGUACCCACCUAGGUUGAAAACUGGGGGGAUGAGUUGUGGGUAGGGGUGAAAGGCUAAUCAAACUCCGUGAUAGCUGGUUCUCCCCGAAAUGCAUUUAGGUGCAGCGUUCUGCGUGUGUUGUUGUGGUGGUAGAGCUACUGGUUGGUUGAUGGGCCGUUUUGGUUACUGACGUCAGCUAAACUCCGAAUGCCAUUGAUAAUUGCAGGGCAGUGAGACUGCGGGGGAUAAGCUUCGUAGUCGAGAGGGAAACAGCCCAGAUC
rnacentral:ncRNA from 1 species